GGGAGAAAGUGGUAGGUGGGAGGGAAUCCUUAGAAAGGUCUGUGAUCGGCGGUGGUGGAGGAGCGUGGGGAUGUAGCGCGACUUCGCGCGGCGGAAAAGGCUUAAAAACCUGGUUUCGGUAAAGAGGGCCGGAGGGAGAAACAAUUCCAGGAAGAGUGGGCACUGCAAGUUGAUGGUAGAGCCCAGAGCAAUGCCUGGAUGUCUUGGUUCCCCCGCUUUUGUAUUAUUUUCUACAAGAUGAUUUUUGUAUUCCUCACACCUUGAUUCCUAACUACAGUUUUAAAACAAUCAACAUGUACAUGGAUAGAUAGGUGGAUUCAUGGGCCUACUCGAGACCACAUAAAUCAGUUCCUGAAAGUGAGGUCAGGUUUGGAAACUACUCUUCUACCCUGUGUUGGCAAAAACAAACACAAAUCAGGGGGCUGCUGACAGGCCAGAAGAGGGUGUCAGAUCCCCUGAAGCUAAAGUUACAGAUGCUUGUAAGCUGUUUGGUGUGUGUACUGGGAACCAAACUCCAGUCCUCUACAAGAGCAGCAGCAUGCUUAACCACUGAGCCUUCUCUCCAGCCCCGAGCAUGAGCUUUUGAAUAAGUUUUACCUCUAUUCAAUUUUUAUAUUUAUACCUUGUAACUAUCUCCUAAGGUUUAUUGUGAGAAUAUAUGAAAUGAUAAUGCAUGCAACAAAUUAUGAAGAGCCUAAAUAAAUGCUACUUUUUUCCUUUG